GGAUGUGAGGGCGAUCUGGCUGCGACAUCUGUCACCCCACUGAUGGACAGGGUUGAUUCGGCUGAUCUGGCCGGCUAGGCAGGUGUCCCCUUCCUCCCUCACCGCUCCAUGUGCGUCCCUCCCGAAGCUGCGCGCUCGGUCGAAGAGGACGGCCUUCCCCGAAUAGAGACGGACCGGUCUUCGGUCGAGGGUAUACGAGUGGCUGCGCUCCCCUGCUAGAACCUCCAAACAAGCUCUCACGGUCCAAAUGAAUUGCAAAACUUUAUCUCACUUUAGAUAGCAGCUAUCUGGUAACUUGCAGAUUUCCAGAGAU
ensembl:misc_RNA 7SK 7SK RNA